GGCUGUGCGGUAGCUUCUAUAAAAGCGCCUCUCGCCCGCUUCUCUGCCUCAUUCCUCGGACGACUUGCAGAUUAACAACUUAAAACACCCAAAAAUACAGACGGACCUUCAAAGAUGAAGGAUCACGAUGCUUAUCCUGACUUCUCGAAAUCAGCAGAUGCUCGAUGGUGCCGUGAAAGCCCAGAGAUGUGACUUGUCUGUAGGGGACUGAGGAGGUGUCCUCAGGUCCGAGUCCUAUUGCUAACAGGUAAUGCAUGUAAAUUCUUGAUCAUGUGUUACCAUAAGAGACUGUUAAUGAUGACUUUUGUUUUUAAAACAAUGGGAAUCUCUCUGAAAAAGAGUGAAAGAGGACUUUUUUCUGAUGCAGUUAAAACUAUAUUACAUACAUGCAUGUUAAAAUUUGGACUAUUCA